rnacentral:tRNA from 1 species
CAGGCAGUAGCUGAGAGGUAGAGCUCCCACUUCGUGCGCGGGAAAACCUGGGUUCAAUUCCCGGCUGCUUGU